GAUGAAGAACGUAGUGAAAUGCGAUAAGUAGUGUGAAUUGCAGAAUUCAGUGAAUCAUCGAAUCUUUGAACGCACAUUGCGCCCCUUGGUAUCCCGAGGGGCAUGCCUGUUCGAGCGUCAUUUCACCACUCAAGCCUGGCUUGGUGUUGGGCGACGUCCUCUUUGGUGACGCGCCUCGAAACGCUCGGCGGCGUGGCACCGGCUUUAAGCGUAGCAGAAUCUUUCGCUUUGGAAGUCGGGGCCCCGUCUGCCGGAAGACCUGCUCGCAAGGUUGACCUCGGAUCAGGCAGGGAUACCCGCUGAACUUAAGCAUAUCAAUAAGCGGAGGA
rnacentral:misc_RNA from 1 species